CAGUCGCCGCGGUAAUACGAAGGGGGCUAGCGUUGUUCGGAUUUACUGGGCGUAAAGGGCGCGUAGGCGGACUGAUAAGUCAGGGGUGAGAUCCCAAGGCUCAACCUUGGAACUGCCUUUGAUACUGUUUGUCUUGAGUUCGAGAGAGGUAAGUGGAACUGCGAGUGUAGAGGUGAAAUUCGUAGAUAUUCGCAAGAACGCCAGUGGCGAAGGCGGCUUACUGGCUCGAAACUGACGCUGAGGCGCGAAGGCGUGGGGAGCAAACAGGAUUAGAUACCCGUGUAGUCCCUGUCUCUUAUAC
rnacentral:rRNA from 1 species